CUAAUAUUUAUAUUUAUUAAGGGGCCAGCUGAAGGACGCCUCUUGGUUCGGGAGUUUAUUGCUGCAUUGAACACCUAUUGGUGACCUGCUGUUGUCUGUUCUAUGGUUGGGUUGUUGUCUCUUUGUCAGACACAUUCCCCAUUUCCACUCUCAAUUUUAUGCCUUAUGUAACCUACUUUCCGUCUGUUAUAUGUCCAUUUUCC
rnacentral:lncRNA from 1 species